UACGAAGGGGGCGAGCGUUGUUCGGAUUUACUGGGCGUAAAGGGCGCGCAGGCGGCUUUGUUUGUCAGGCGUGAAAGCCCCGGGCUUAACCUGGGAACUGCGUUUGAUACGGCAGGGCUAGAGUUCGGGAGAGGAGAGUGGAAUUCCCAGUGUAGAGGUGAAAUUCGUAGAGAUUGGGAAGAACACCGGUGGGCGAAGGCGGCCAACUGGACUGGUAUUGACGCUGAGGCGCGAAAGCGUGGGGAGCAAACAGG
rnacentral:rRNA from 1 species